GUGCUCGCUUCAGCAGCACAUAUACUAAAAUUGGAACGAUACAGAGGAGAUUAACAUGGCCCUUGUGGAAAGGAUUCGGACACAUGACCCUGAUGAGGCUGGUGAGCUUCUU